ACUAACGACUCUAGCUAAAUUUACACAUGCAAGUAUCCGCGCCCCGGUGAGAAUGCCCUUCACUCCCUGCUUGGGAGUAAGGAGCUGGUAUCAGGCACCCUUAAAUGAAGCCCAUGACGCCUUGCUUAGGCCACACCCUCACGGGAACCCAGCAGUGAUAAACAUUAAGCCAUGAGUGAAAACUUGACUUAGUUAAUGCUAUUUUAGGGCCGGUAAAAACUCGUGCCAGCCACCGCGGUUAAACGAGGGACCCAAGUCGUUAGUCAUCGGCGUAAAGAGUGGUUAAGAUAAGACAAAACUAAAGCCGAAUGCUCUCCAGACUGUCAUACGCCCCCGAGGAGUAAGAAGCUCAACUACGAAAGUGGCUUUACCCAAUCUGAACCCACGAAAGCUAGGGUACAAACUGGGAUUAGAUACCCCACUAUGCCUAGCCCUAAACAUCGACAGUAAACUACGCCCACUGUCCGCCUGGGAACUACGAGCGCUAGCUUAAAACCCAAAGGACUUGGCGGUGCUUUAGACCCACCUAGAGGAGCCUGUCCUAGAACCGAUAAUCCCCGUUCAACCUCACCCUUCCUUGUUUUAUCCGCCUAUAUACCGCCGUCGUCAGCUUACCCUGUGAAGGCUCAAAAGUAAGCGAAAUCGGUACAGCCCCAAACGUCAGGUCGAGGUGUAGCGUAUGGAAGGGGAAGAGAUGGGCUACAUUCACUGACACAGUGAAAUACGAAUGAUUGCUCUGAAACGAGAAUCUGAAGGAGGAUUUAGCAGUAAGCAAAAAGUAGAGUGUUUUGCUGAAGUUGGCCCUGAAGCGUGCACACACCGCCCGUCACUCUCCCCUAUUCAACUUGGAAUAAUAACUUAUAUACCCUACAGAAACUGCGGGGAGACA
rnacentral:ncRNA from 1 species